rnacentral:rRNA from 1 species
CUCGUAGGCGGUUCGUCGCGUCCGGUGUGAAAGUCCAUCGCUUAACGGUGGAUCCGCGUCGGGUACGGGCGGGCUUGAGUGCGGUAGGGGAGACUGGAAUUCCCGGUGUAACGGUGGAAUGUGUAGAUAUCGGGAAGAACACCAAUGGCGAAGGCAGGUCUCUGGGCCGUUACUGACGCUGAGGAGCGAGAGCGUGGGGAGCGAACA